UACGUAGGGGGCAAGCGUUGUCCGGAUUUAUUGGGCGUAAAGAGCGUGUAGGCGGCCAGAUAGGUCCGUUGUGAAAACUCGAGGCUCAACCUCGAGACGCCGAUGGAAACCAUUUGGCUAGAGUCCGGAAGAGGAGAGUGGAAUUCCUGGUGUAGCGGUGAAAUGCGCAGAUAUCAGGAAGAACACCAAUAGCGAAGGCAGCUCGCUGGGACGUUACUGACACUGAGGCGCGAAAGCGUGGGGAGCGAACAGG
rnacentral:rRNA from 1 species